GGGCGGGGAGCUCAAGUAGUAGAGCACGUGCUUAGCAUGCAUGAGGUCCUGGGCUCAAUCCCCAGUACCUCCA
rnacentral:tRNA from 1 species